UAGGGGAGCCGUAGGGAAACCGAGUCUUAACUGGGCGACUAGUUGCAGGGUAUAGACCCGAAACCCGGCGAUCUAUCCAUGAGCAGGUUGAAGGUUGAGUAACAUCAACUGGAGGACCGAACCCACUUAUGUUGAAAAAUGAGGGGAUGAGCUGUGGAUCGGAGUGAAAGGCUAAUCAAGCCGGGAGAUAGCUGGUUCUCCCCGAAAGCUAUUUAGGUAGCGCCUCGGACGGACACCAUCGGGGGUAGAGCACUGUUUGGGCUAGGGGGUCAUCCCGACUUACCAACCCCAUGCAAACUCCGAAUACCCAGGAGUGCGAUCACGGGAGACACACGGCGGGUGCUAACGUCCGUCGUGGAGAGGGAAACAACCCAGACCGCCAGCUAAGGUCCCAAAGUUCUAGUUAAGUUGGAAACGAUGUGGGAAGGCAUAGACAGCUAGGAGGUUGGCUUAGAAGCAGCCAUCCUUUAAAGAAAGCGUAAUAGCUC
rnacentral:rRNA from 16 species